GACGAAGGUGGCGAGCGUUGUUCGGAAUCACUGGGCAUAAAGCGCACGUAGGCGGCGACGUAAGUUGGGUGUGAAAUCCCUCGGCCCAACCGAGGAACUGCGCCCAGUACUGCGUUGCUUGAGGAUCCAAGGGGUGCAUGGAAUUCCCGGUGGAGCGGUGAAAUGCGUUGAGAUCGGAAGGAACGCCCGUGGCGAAAGCGAGGUCCUGGACGCCUACUGACGCUGAGACGCGAAAGCCAGGGGAGCGAACGGG
rnacentral:rRNA from 1 species